rnacentral:rRNA from 1 species
GACGAACGCUGGCGGCGUGCCUAAUACAUGCCAGUUGAGCGCUGAAGGUUGGUACUUGUACCAACUGGAUGAGCAGCGAACGGGUGAGUAACGCGUGGGGAAUCUGCCUUUGAGCGGGGGACAACAUUUGGAAACGAAUGCUAAUACCGCAUAAAAACUUUAAACACAAGUUUUAAGUUUGAAAGAUGCAAUUGCAUCACUCAAAGAUGAUCCCGCGUUGUAUUAGCUAGUUGGUGAGGUAAAGGCGCACCAAGGCGAUGAUACAUAGCCGACCUGAGAGGGUGAGCGGCCACAUUGGGACUGGGACACGGCCCAAACUCCUACGGGAGGCAGCAGUAGGGAAUCUUCGGCAAUGGACGAAAGUCUGACCGAGCAACGCCGCGUGAGUGAAGAAGGUUUUCGGAUCGUAAAACUCUGUUGGUAGAGAAGAACGUUAGUGAGAGUGGAAAGCUCAUCAAGUGACGGUAACUACCCAGAAAGGGACGGCUAACUCCGUG